rnacentral:rRNA from 1 species
UACGUAGGGGGCAAGCGUUGUCCGGAUUUAUUGGGCGUAAAGAGCUCGUAGGCGGCUCGUUGCGUCGGCUGUGAAAACCCGCAGCUUAACUGUGGGCCUGCAGCCGAUACGGGCGGGCUGGAGUUCGGUAGGGGAGACUGGAAUUCCUGGUGUAGCGGUGAAAUGCGCAGAUAUCAGGAGGAACACCGGUGGCGAAGGCGGGUCUCUGGGCCGAUACUGACGCUGAGGAGCGAAAGCGUGGGGAGCGAACAGG